UCAAGUCCUAAACAUAUUUUCAGGUAUUAAUAUUUAAGUAAUUAGCAUUUAAGUUUUGUGAACAUAAGCUGCUUUGGCAAGGAAAAUGCUAUACGGCUUCAUGGUAUCCAAGUGAGAUUUAUUCUUCUAGCAUGAGGUACUAGUAAAUUGGCUGUUGGCCUAUCUAGCUUUUUGAUAAUGACAUCAUGAUUGGUAAGUCUGACUACCUUGAUUAGAGCAGCAAACCUGAGCUCAGAGUUUAUCCCGAUGUUUCUGAAAUCCUCAAGUGGAUUAAUUUAUGCUUAGGACGUUCCGUUCGUUCAAGGGUGUGCCAUUAAGUAUGGUGUUGUGAACGUAAUGUCAGAAGCCUUAGAGAUACAUAUUUUCCUAGAUGAAAGGUACUGAAUUUUAAGAUGCAUAUCGUUGCAAUCCAUGAUGCUUGUGCCUUCCUGGACCAACAAUUUUGGGCAUCAAUUCAUUUACCUAGAUAUCUGGCAUCACUGGCAUCCUGGAGAAAUAAAUUCCAAGGUCAAAUUGCAUAACAAGAUUUAUAUCAGGGAUUUCCUGAUACAGGUCUUCUCUAACUGCAGAAUCUGCACUCAUACUGCAGGACCCAUUAAUGCUAAGUAUUUCACUGUUAUAUAUUUCACUGUUAUUUUUUUCUGGAUUUCACUCCACUAUGGUUUUUCAUUCACCAGUUGCAUGGUUUAUAGAUUACUAUGUAACCUGGGCUUUGUGUUUGAACUCAUCGGGAUCUUGGCAGAAGUGCAAAAAGAGCGUAUUGAAUAAUUGUUGGAAAGUUGUCACCAGCAGUUCCCAUAUGUUUUCUGAAUCCUCCAGCUGAUUUAGUAAGAUCCCUGAAUGUGUCCUGAUAUCUAUAUAUCUGGUUAUGUUUCAGAAUUAUAGCUCUGAAAUGUGUAUUAAUAGUUAAUUAAGCAUUAGCCAAAGAAAAUUGAUUAUGAAAGAGUUAAAAGAUGGUGUGUGGGUAAAAUACUGGUUUUUACUUACAACAUUUGAAAUUUAGUGGUUCUAAUUUUUUCAAGCACUUAAAAUCAUGCAGCCUUGCAGCAUUCUUACCAUCUUUGCUAAUAAAAUGAACAUGGGUGUGUUCGCCAACUUAAUUGCGAAUACUUUGUUCUCAACCAUAAAUCAGUAUUAACAAAUCCCUGAAUUAAUCUGCAGUUUAAAGGAGUCAAGCACCCUGUGGUUGCUGGAGGAUGGCUUGCUCCUGCUGGGAAGCAGCCUAAGGUUAUGGUGGUGGAAGGGGCUGAAGGUGGAAGAAUGGUGUCUGCAUGUGACCACCAGCAGAGACACAUCUCAGAGUUACCCUGCUCUGCAGAACCAGCAGGCAUCCACGAACAACAAGGAGCUAUUCCAGGAUCACACAAGUCUGAGAGCAACCCUGGCUUCCAGUAUGGGUCCAACUGGCUGUAUUUAAACACUUGCCUAAGUCACAUCAACUGCAUUAGUGUGAUUCCUUUAUUUUCUCUGUAUCCUGCUAAUGUUCUUUUCAGUUUUGCAAAUGUAGUUCAACAAAUAUUAAGAUAACUAGAGGAGAACUUCUGAAUUUUCAAGGUCUGUUUUCUGCUAUCACAAUAAACACAAUUGCACCUGGCUGAUUAAUGGCUCAAGACUGAAACAAAAUUGGUUUUCUGCUACUAUUAUUUUUAUAGAGUAUAAACCUUUAGGUAAAAAAUUUUGUCUGAU